rnacentral:siRNA from 1 species
UAUAAGCUUCUUGAGUUCUGC